rnacentral:piRNA from 1 species
ACCUUCCCAGAGGAUGGACCUCACGUGACU